GACGAACGCUGGCGGCGUGCUUAACACAUGCAAGUUGAACGGAAAGGCCCUGCUUUUGUGGGGUGCUCGAGUGGCGAACGGGUGAGUAACACGUGAGUAACCUGCCCUUGACUUUGGGAUAACUUCAGGAAACUGGGGCUAAUACCGGAUAGGAGCUCCUGCUGCAUGGUGGGGGUUGGAAAGUUUCGGCGGUUGGGGAUGGACUCGCGGCUUAUCAGCUUGUUGGUGGGGUAGUGGCUUACCAAGGCUUUGACGGGUAGCCGGCCUGAUAGGGUGACCGGCCACAUUGGGACUGAGAUACGGCCCAGACUCCUACGGGAGGCAGCAGUGGGGAAUAUUGCACAAUGGGCGGAAGCCUGAUGCAGCAACGCCGCGUGCGGGAUGACGGCCUUCGGGUUGUAAACCGCUUUCGCCUGUGACGAAGCGUGAGUGACGGUAAUGGGUAAAGAAGCACCGGCUAACUACGUG
rnacentral:rRNA from 1 species